rnacentral:rRNA from 1 species
UGAAGUUGGAUUCGCUAGUAAUCGCGCAUCAGCCAUGGCGCGGUGAAUACGUUCCCGGGCCUUGUACACACUGCCCGUCAAGCCAUGGGAGCCGGGGGUGCCUGAAGUUCGUGACCGCAAGGAGCGACCUAGGGCAAAACUGGUGACUGGGGCUAAGUCGUAACAAGGUACC